CCUACGGGGGCAGCAGUGGGGAAUUGUUCGCAAUGGGCGAAAGCCUGACGACGCAACGCCGCGUGGAGGACGAAGGCCUUCGGGUUGUAAACUCCUGUCGGGGGGGAAGAACGGCCUGCGGGUUAAUACCCCGUAGGCGUGACGGUACCCCUAGAGGAAGCCCCGGCUAACUCCGUGCCAGCAGCCGCGGUAACACGGAGGGGGCGAGCGUUGUUCGGAUUUACUGGGCGUAAAGGGCUUGUAGGCGGCUGUCUAUGUCGGUUGUGAAAUCCCCAGGCUCAACCUGGGAACUGCAGCCGAAACUGGGUGGCUAGAAGCCGGGAGAGGGAUGCGGAAUUCCAGGUGUAGCGGUGAAAUGCGUAGAUAUCUGGAGGAACACCCGUGGCGAAGGCGGCAUCCUGGACCGGUCUUGACGCUGAGGAGCGAAAGCUAGGGUAGCAAAUGGGAUUAGAUACCCUUGUAGUC
rnacentral:rRNA from 1 species